rnacentral:rRNA from 1 species
UGCAGCAGGCGCGAAAACUUUGCAAUGCGUGCAAGCGCGACAAGGCAAGUCGGAGUGCAGNUNGUUUUACCRCUGCUUUUACNNCUGAAGAUAGGUAGGAGAAUAAGGACU